UAAUUUCGUUAGCUUUCCGGACAUGUAAAUAAUAUUGAAAAAUGAGCUACAGGGUGAGAGACAUGACAAAAAUACCAGUAGUAGUAGUUCCAUACAAUAAUUGAUUUGUACAGACCUUCACUAAAAUGAUAAUUAAUCUCUCUCUGUAACUCCAAAUUUGGUGGAGUUUAAUUCUAUGGAAAACUAACUCUAUUUCGGUC
rnacentral:lncRNA from 1 species